GGAUGUGAGGGCGAUCUGGCUGCAACAUCUGUCACCGCAUUGAUCGCCGGGGUUGAUUUGGCUGAUAUGGCUGGCUAGGCAGGUGGCCCCUUCCUCCCUCACCACUCCAUGUGUGUCCCUCCUGAAGUUGUGCGCUUGGUGGAAGAGGAUGACCUUCCCUGAUAGAGGAGGACCGUUCUUCGGUCAAGGGUAUAGGAGUAGCUGCGCUCCCGUGCUAGAACCUCCAAACAAGCUCUCGGGAAUAGAAUUCAGUGAUUCAUCACUUAUGUACAACCCAGUGCUUAUAACAAGUGCCCUCCUU
rnacentral:snRNA from 1 species